CUGCAUGGUUGUCGUCAGCUCGUGCCGUGAGGUGUCGGGUUAAGUCCCAUAACGAGCGCAACCCCUACCUUUAGUUGCCAUCAGGUAAUGCUGGGGACUCUAAAGGAACUGCCUACGCAAGUAGUGAGGAAGGCGGGGAUGACGUCAAAUCAGCACGGCCCUUACGUCCAGGGCUACACACGUGCUACAAUGGCCGAUACAGAGGGCAGCUACCUGGUGACAGGAUGCAAAUCUCCAAAGUCGGUCUCAGUUCGGAUCGGAGUCUGCAACCCGACUCCGUGAAGUUGGAUUCGCUAGUAAUCGCGCAUCAGCCAUGGCGCGGUGAAUACGUUCCCGGGCCUU
rnacentral:rRNA from 1 species